rnacentral:lncRNA from 1 species
UGGGAAAUGAGCAUGUGAACGGAAGAUUGUAAAAGAAGGAACCUCCGGCCAGUUCUAUCGACAAGGUAGAUCCCUACAAACGUACUAAGAACGUUGAUACUUCCCGUGAUAACCGCAGAGAGAAGAGCUGCGUUACUUCCAAAACCAACGGUCUGGAACAAAACCGGUGCGUAGAACAUAAUAGCAUUGAUUCCACUAAACUGCUGGAAAAGCUGUAGAAGCAUUCCAAUGAUUAACGGUGGACGACUCGCUGGUUUCAACAGUUUCCUGUAAGGGUCUUUGACUUGACUCGCGAUCUCGCAUGCAUGGACGAUAGAUUCAUACUCCUCAUUUAUAUCUUCAACUCCUCUGAUCUUCCUUAGGGUUUCUCUGCCUUCUUCGUUUUUGUUGCGCUCAAUGAGGCUCGUGGGGGUCUCGCAGAUGAUCAGUGAACCCAAGAGGAGGAUAACCGCAGGGAUUGCGGCUCCACCGAGAGCAAACCGCCAUCCGUUAGGGUGAACGGUGGCAGUGAAGUAGUUGACAAGGUUGGCUAUUAAGAUUCCUAUUGUGACCAUGAGUUGGAAUACAAUGUUGAGACCUCCCCUUAGCUGUGCAGGAGCAAUCUCUGAUAAGAAAAGCGGCACUGCCUACAAAUUUAAGGUACACACAACAAUGUUAGGUCAUUUCUAGAGAUCUGCCAGGCAUAACCAUUUUUGUAAGAACUAGUAUAAAAGGAAGGAAGGUUGAAGAAAACAUACAUGCACUCCUUCCCACAAUAUUGUGCUCUUACUUCUCCGCAUACUAAGAUCCACAAGCAAGUUGGAUGGGAAUCUCUCUAUCGCUGAGCAACAAUUGAGAUCAGGGCAAGCAAGAGAUUUGAUGUUAAUACUAGUUUGAAGAAUGUUUAGCAUUCUGCAUCCACCAGACUCGAGCUCGAGUAUUACGGUUGAGAACAAGUGUAUCAAGAUUUUCUUUGAACUUUAUUCUCACUCCGGAAUCAAAACCCUUUGGCGUCCUAUACACUAUAAUAAACCAAAACCUGUUUGAGAAUGGAAAUGUCAACUGCAUUAAAGUAACAAUAAGCUUGACAAGAAUUUUAUAGCAAAUGCUUACUGCAAUUUUGCUUGCUGCAAUUUUUUUGCCCUGUCUACACAUCAUUGUUGAGAGAGAGCUUCUUGAUCAUCAUGUAAAUAUGGCAUGAAUAUAUAUAUAUAUAUAUACUUGAUCAUUAAACACACACAGAGAAUAAAAAAAAGGCAUCAUCUGAAAUCACCAGCCGAAAAAUGUCUAUUUGGUUUGUGGAACUGAUUUAAUUCCUAAUUUUAGAUGCUCUGCGUUACAACCUAACACAAUCAAAAGUUUAUUCACGAAAUCUGCAGAAAAAGAAAAAAAAGUCUCAGUACAAGAAAUUAUGAUAUAGAAAAUACUGUGAUAAGUUCAUGAUUAAUGCCUUUACCCGCUUCUUUCCGUCACUACAUCAUUUGCCUCCACAUUCACCAGCCUCAUUAAGCAUAUUGCCUUCAUCGGCUUCAAAAACAUGUGGUAGAAUGUUUGGAUAACCAAGUCGGUUGUCUGCCGAAGAACAGUCCUCCUCUAAGAUUCGUAUACCCCAUCCUUUUAUUUUAGCAUCAUUACAAUAAACAAUAUCAAUCUUCAGAUCCAGGCGAUCGAAGUUCAUUUCUAAAGGGAUUUGAGACAUCUGGUAGUCUAAUACAGACAGAUAACCAUCCUUCUUAAAUGAAUAGAUCUCAUAAUCAUCCGUGACUGCGCAGAAGUCUUGUGCCUGAUUAUAGGAAUCAGAGCAGUUCCGAAAACUGCCUUUGAAUCUAAAGACACAUUUGCUACAUGACUCAUUGUUCGAAUCAAACACAAUGCAAGCCCUGAAUCGGAGGAAUGGUUGUGAGAGACAGCUGUGAAGUAAAGGAAUGGUGAGAGAGGAGGAGGUUCCAGUAGUAAGGUGCGUGAAAUAUGAAGGCACUUCUUCACCUGACAACCUCAGUAGACAAACUGAAUAUGUUUUCUUUUGAAACAGAGCUUCUUGAUCCAAGUUUAUGCACUUGGUGAAAUCGAUACCAAUGUCGAAACUGUGGUAAUAACUCAAGGCACUUUCUCUUGGACGAUUAUUCCAGCUAGCUCCAGUCAAUGACUUGCAGUUUGAAAAGUCUACUUUGUGAAGAUGUUUGAGUUUAGAAAUGUUUAGGUUUACAUAUUCCAAAUUGUUGCAUCCCUUCAUAUGUAGGGAGUCAAGCCUGGAGAAUUUCUCAAUCCAACAAGGAACCUCUUCAAUCCCUGUUUCGCUUAGAUCGAGAUCUGUGAUGUGGGUUGAGAUAUCAGGAAAAGUCCUCAACCGUGAGCAUCCCCUGAGAUCUAGUUCCCAGAGAGAUCCGAGGUUGAUUCCGGUGGGAAGAGUUUCCAGACUUACGCAGUAACUAAUUUUCAAUCUCUCCAGUUUAUGGAGAUUCUUAAAUGAAGAAGGAAGCUCCACCAAGCCAGGGUUAUCCGAGAGAUCCAGAUACCUCAAAGAGGGAGACAUGAUCGGCGUGAGGAGAGUAAGAAGCUGAACCAAAUACACAAAAUCAUAUCCAGCUACUCUUCUUCCCUCCGAUAAAAUACAAUAUAACCUUAGUUUCAUUUGCACCAAUAUCUAAUAUCUAUAACGUAAAACAGAUUGGAGAAACACACAAAGUUUGGAACUACAUACCUGUACUCUUUCCGAUAGUUUCUUUAGGCUGUGCAUCGUAAAGCUAUUGAGAUUCUCGUAACACAAACUCAUAUUUGAAGGUAUUUCUUCAAUGGAUGUUGCGUCUAUGUCGACAUCUUCAAUGGUGCUUGAGAUUUGGGGAAAAGUCCUCAUCCGUGAGCAUCCAACAGUAUAUAGGUUUUUGAGAGAUUUGAGGCUAAUGCCAGUUGGAAUAGUCUCCACAUUUCGACAAUUGCUCAGAUAUAAUGUCGUCAGUUUGUUGGGAUGUGGAAUAGAGGAAGGAAGCUUCACCAAACUAUAGCAAUCCCUAAGAUAUAGUGUCUCCAGAUUGGUGGCCUUUGAAAGAUCUGGCAUUUCUAUCAAGUUUUGAGAUCCCCACAUAUUCAUCUCUUUAAGACAUGUAAGCGACUGUACUCAACAAAACAAAUAAAAAGGAACAAAACACAUGAGCUCAGUAGAACAAGAUUGUCAUCCAAAAAACAAAAUAAAGAUUAGUCUUACUACUAAUAACAUCACAAACUAUUCUCAAAACUUACCACAAUCCCUUCCCACAGCUUCUCGAGCUUGCUAUUCACCAUUUUAAGCUUGACGAGUUUUUCAGGACGAAACUUAGAAGGCAGACAUCUCAUUGGAUAUUCAUACCAAUCCAAUAUUUUAAGUUUAGGAGGCAAAUAGUCGAAGUUUUCAGGUAAGUGAAUUGUAACUUCUUCCUUUCCAAUCUCAUAACGGGUUUGUGAGUGAAUUUCCAGGAAACGCAGAUUGCGCAUCCCUUUGAAGGCAUUCUCAUGCACAUUCAGUUCAUCAAUCUCAUCAAUAUUCAAUUUUAUACCCAAUAUCUUAUGAGUACCCUGAAAAUUAUAUAAUAUCAAAUAUUAAUAAAUGCUAAGUAUUAGUUUUGCUUAUAAAAUGGCAUGCUCUAAAUCUUAUUUACUGAGUCAUGUCUAAUGACUGUAAGGAGCACGAACAUAAGAGAUAACUUACAGUGUCUUGACCGAGUACAUCACAGAUAUCUUGUGCGUCCACCAGAAAUUCUCGUUUUUCAGGCUCGUCAAGCCUAACAAUACGUCUACCCAUCUCUUCUAACAAACGGUGCAUCUCCACAUAAUUCUCUCUUACAUGAAUGAGGGACUUAUCAGCUAGGUUUUCCAGCCCAACCGUAACACUCAACCCACUAUCAGCGAGCAGCAACUUCACGUAUGUGACUUUUUUCAAAUGGAAAAGGCAUGCGAUAUGGCGAAAUAACGCUUUAUCUUCUUCGCUUGUUAAUCCAUCGUAGCUGACUCUCAAUGUCUUCUCAAUUUUCCCAUCUAAACAAUUCUGAAGCCUUGGCAACAAACCCAUCCAGUACUCCUUGUCCCUUCCCCGUAGAUAUGAACCCAAAACAUUAAGACCCAAAGGAAGUCUACCCGCAAGUCUUGCAACUUUAUUAACAAGCUUCUCAAAACCUUCAGGUGCAGCAUUUUUUCUGAAAGCAGAUCGACAUAACAUCUCAACAGCUAUCUUUUCAGUUGGGAGAUAGACCUCGUAAAUUUUAUUAAUCCCAUGGGCCCUUAGAUACUGCUUAUCAUUUGUAACCACAACGAUUCUGCUCCCACUUCCAAACCAUUGAGUUUGACCAACCAAGGUAUCUAGCACAACUUGAUCAUCAAAAUCAUCAAUGAAAAUAAGAACUUUCUGAUUCUUCAGCCUCUCCCCAACUGCACUCAAAUGAUUUAUCUUUAUGUCUCCUUUACCUAAGAUUUCAGAUAGGAAAUUUCUUUGCAAAUGCAGCUUCAUGUUAUAGUCAUCCGGAUUAGCUGCCUUGAAAAUUUCCAUAGUCUUAGAUACGAAAGCCCUGUCUAUGAAAAUGCUACCUCGGAAGUGUCGAGAAAGUCGUUGAAACAGAACUCUUGCAAUUGUAGUCUUGCCGAUCCCUGAAGAACCCCAUAAACCAACCAUCCUCACUUCCUCCGCGUCCAACUGAAGCAAUACACUCAGUUUUGCUAGAUGAUCUUCAAUGCCCACAAAGUUCUCUGAAUCCUUCGAUGAAGUUAAAAGUAGUUUAUCCAAAACAUCAUUGGCGAUUUCUUCAACCAUUGCAGCUUCGUUACCCCUAACAAUAAGAAAGAUAAUAUCACCCCCUAGCAACCAGAAGUCUAACCUUUAUUCAAAAGAAUGAAUGAUGCAUAAAACCGUACCAGUUUACUGAAUGAUACCCGAGAGUAUUGGCUACAUCGGUCAAAGCUCUCCUCCAUUGAAUUAUUAUCACUUCCUCUGUUUGAUUCUUGCAUGUUUCUUCAAAUAUUUUCCCAAAGGCACCGGUUUGUUUCCUCACAUGGGAAGGAUCCAACCGGUAGAAAACAGGUAUCACCAUUUGACCACACUUGACUAUCUCUAGCAACUCAUUAAGACACCAGCUUGAAGAGGCAUAGUUUUGGGAGAAGAUAACCACUGCGAUCCUCGAAUCUUUAAUGGCUUGUUUAAGCUCGGGAUCCAGUGAUCGACUUCUCUCGAUCUCGUUGUCUUUGAAAGCAGUGAUCAACUUUUUGUCAAACUCCUUCAACAAGUGGCUGAGGAAAGUAACACGAACGUCUACCCCACUGAAGCUAGGGAAAACAUCGUACAACCAAGUGCGAGAAGAAGCUAAUGAGAGAGCCAUAGAGAUAGGAGCAAAAAUAAUAUGAAGGAAAAGAAGGACUUGGUGACUGAUUGAUUAUCUGAAGAAUGUUAACUUAGCGGAUUGGUGUGUAGCAACUUGAAGGAAGUUUCCUAUUUGUUGACUUAGUUACGUCCACACAGGUUUCGCUUAUCUUUACAUUAUUGUAUCUGUACUGUUUCUAGUAUAACGUUUAUUGGCCGUGACUUUUUUCAGUAGAACAUUUAUCGACAGUCAAUUCUUAGACUUUUACAAUGUAACUGUUUUUUCUCUUCUUCUGUGUUCUUCUGCUUGGUGCUCCAAGACUUUCUGGCUGCAUUUACUUACAAUUAUUUAAUAAGAUGUAUGCAACUAAAUGUUCAUUCUUAUGCUCACGAGUAUGCUGAAGAGAGGUUUCUAAAUGCUACUGAAGAAUUUUCUUCUUAACUUUACAGUGGUUUUACAACCAAUACUGAAGAAUAUUAGCUCUGUUCUUUUGCGGGAUGCUGCGUCACGGCGAGCGACUAAAAUUUAACAAACAAAUUUUUGGCUUCCAUUGGUGACCAUGCCGAAAGAAACAAAUUUAUGGUAAAUUUUUUGUUCUUCAAAAUUUAUACGAGUUAAAGUUGAAUUGUUUAUCAAAUUAUUAAUAGGUAAGUCUCAUACUUUUUUUUUAAUUCUUCAAAGAUGAAUGAAAGAUGAAUGAAUUUAUAAAAAAAGAUUCCUCUUCAAUUUUGACGAGGAACAAAAUAAACAGAAAUUCAUAUUUUUUAUUUUUUUAAUUCUUCAAAUAAAAUUUUAUUUUUUAUUUUGUUUAUUUUUUUCAUUCAUCUAUUGGUCACCAAUCGAAGCCUUUAUAUAACGAAUGUUGAAUGUCAUUCUAGUGUCUAUUCUGUUUUUUUUUAAAACUUUUUAGUCUUUUACGGAUAACAACAUAGAAUAUAUGAUUUUUUUUAACAUAAAUAUCACCUGAUAUAGAUGUGUAUACCCGCAUGGGUGGGUGAAACACUAGUUCUUUUAAAACAGAUAAUUUUUUUUCAAAAACUUGGGUUUUACUACAAGAACAUAUAAUUAUUUAAAAGAUAAAUUAUUUUUAAAACAUAUGGUUCUAUUACAAAAAAAAACAUAAAAUUAUAGUAUAAACAUAUGAUUAUAUUUUUGACAAAAUAAACAUAAGUUUCUACUACAGAACAUAGAAUUUUACUAAACGAACAUAGAAUCCAAUUUAGAAAACAUAGAAUAUUGUUACAAAAACAUAUAACUCAAUUUCAAAAUUUUAGAUUUUUUUUUGAAAGAAUGUUAAAUUUAUUCAAAAAAAACCAUUUGUACAAUGAAUCAUGAAUGUAAAUCCAGAGCUUAUUGUUUAUAACUAUAACUGAAAAAAAUAGAAUUCAAGAUAAGUAAUUUUUGUUGACAUCCACUGAUAAAACAUCUAACCUGAAUCAACAAGUUGGUCUUAUUAUACUAUCUGUUCCCGCAAAACAAAAGAAGUAACCAACAUCAACAAGAAAAAGGAAAAGCAAACACACUGAUCAACAAAGACUUAUGAUAUCAUUCAGUUCUCUUCUCCACAUCUUGAUGAUCAUCCUCAGCAAGCAUAUACCUUUUCCAGAACCAGUGUGGCUUCCACACUCUCUCCCUCACAUCAUCAAUGGCCACACCUUUAGUCUCCGGUAUAAAGAACAAAGCAAACAGUCCCAUCACAAUGAUCCAAGCGCUGAAGAAGAAGAAUAUUCCCGAUCUCAUCCCACAAAGCAUCGAUAAAAAAGCUUGCGCGAUCACGAAGGUGAAUAACAUGUUGCACGAGACUGCAACAGCGAACCCUGCACUUCGAGUCUCUAGAGGAAACGUCUCGCUAGGAAUUAGCCAUCCUAAUGGUCCCCAUGACCACGCGAAUCCCAUCACGUAAGCGCACACAAAGACCACAACCACCAUGGCUUGUGCCUUCCCGAGUGUUCCUGUGAUACCCAAGUCUUUCGCUAGGAUGAUUCCAAUGAUCAACUGUUAGAAGAGUUUGUUAGUUUAAGAGGAUUACUUGUGGUGCAAGAUACCUACUUCAAGAUGCUUAGAGCAUGUCUAUCAAUUAAAUGUUAAAUCAUAAAAACAAAUUAAACCAAUCAUGAGUUAACACAUUUGUAAAAGAAAAAAGAUUUUUCAAAUGAGAACUCUUUCAGUUCCUUUUUAUUCCUUCUUUCUCCAUUUUUUUCUCCUUUUUGGUUAUUUUUUAAUGUCUAGAAUCCUGCUAGACACUAGCAUUAGGUUUCUCUUAGAUACAAUAAACAAAGAAGAUUACUUGUGGAGCAAGAUACCUUCUUCAAGAUAGAACUAGAGACAAUAAACAAAGAAGUAGAGAGAUAUAUGUACUGGUAGUUCAAAAAAAGAGAGAGACAUCUAUGUACCUGGGAAAUGAGCAUGUGAACGGAAGAUUGUAAAAGAAGGAACCUCCGGCCAGUUCUAUCGACAAGGUAGAUCCCUACAAACGUACUAAGAACGUUGAUACUUCCCGUGAUAACCGCAGAGAGAAGAGCUGCGUUACUUCCAAAACCAACGGUCUGGAACAAAACCGGUGCGUAGAACAUAAUAGCAUUGAUUCCACUAAACUGCUGGAAAAGCUG